rnacentral:rRNA from 1 species
GAUGAACGCUGGCGGCGUGCUUAACACAUGCAAGUCGAACGAGAAAUGUAGACGGAAACCUUCGGGCGGAAGCCUUCAUUUCGAGUGGCGGACGGGUGAGUAACGCGUGGGUAACCUGCCUCAUACAGGGGGAUAACAGUUGGAAACGACUGUUAAUACCGCAUAAGACCACAGCAUCGCAUGAUGCGGGGGUAAAAACUCCGGUGGUAUGAGAUGGACCCGCGUUCGAUUAGCCAGUUGGCGGGGUAACGGCCCACCAAAGCGACGAUCGAUAGCCGAUCUGAGAGGAUGACCGGCCACAUUGGGACUGAGACACGGCCCAAACUCCUACGGGAGGCAGCAGUGGGGAAUAUUGCACAAUGGGGGAAACCCUGAUGCAGCGACGCCGCGUGAGUGAAGAAGUACUUCGGUAUGUAAAGCUCUAUCAGCAGGAAGAAAAUGACGGUACCUGAGUAAGAAGCCCCGGCUAACUACGUG